rnacentral:rRNA from 1 species
AGUGAACGCUGGCGGUAGGCCUAGCACAUGCAAGUCGAACGGCAGCACAGUAAGAGCUUGCUCUUACGGGUGGCGAGUGGCGGACGGAUGAGGAAUACAUCGGAAUCUACUUUUUCGUGGGGGAUAACGUAGGGAAACUUACGCUAAUACCGCAUACGACCUACGGGUGAAAGCAGGGGAUCUUCGGACCUUGCGCGAUUGAAUGAGCCGAUGUCGGAUUAGCUAGUUGGCGGGGUAAAGGCCCACCAAGGCGACGAUCCGUAGCUGGUCUGAGAGGAUGAUCAGCCACACUGGAACUGAGACACGGUCCAGACUCCUACGGGAGGCAGCAGUGGGGAAUAUUGGACAAUGGGCGCAAGCCUGAUCCAGCCAUACCGCGUGGGUGAAGAAGGCCUUCGGGUUGUAAAGCCCUUUUGUUGGGAAAGAAAAGCAGCAGGUUAAUACCCCGCUGUUCUGACGGUACCCAAAGAAUAAGCACCGGCUAACUUCGUG